UGGCUCCCUUCUUGCCAGAGAGCCAGAAGGGAGCCGGGGCUCCCUCCGGGGACAAGAGAGCCACAAGUGGCUCUCUUGUUCCCGGGGGGAGCUGCAGCU
rnacentral:snoRNA from 1 species